rnacentral:rRNA from 1 species
UACGGAGGGUGCAAGCGUUAAUCGGAAUUACUGGGCGUAAAGCGUGCGCAGGCGGUUUGUUAAGUCCGUUGUGAAAGCCCCGAGCUCAACUUGGGAAUUGCAGUGGAUACUGGCAGGCUGGAGUACGGUAGAGGAAGGUGGAAUUCCCGGUGUAGCAGUGAAAUGCGUAGAGAUCGGGAGGAACACCAGUGGCGAAGGCGGCCUUCUGGACCAGUACUGACGCUCAUGCACGAAAGCAUGGGGAGCAAACAGG